GGGGAAAUCACUUAUGUGCAUCAAUGAUGUAAUGCUCCAACCAUAAGUAAAGGAGCAAAGAGAAGAGAAAGAGAAAAAAUAUGUUGGAUGAGCAUGCAACGUGGAGAAUGAAGAAAAAGAAAAGUAAGAAAAAAGCAGGAAAAUGAAGUGAAAGGAAUGGAAGAGUCUUACAGAGACUUGCGUUUUUCCAUGAAGCUGACAGGAUUGGAGGUGUAGCCACAAGCAAUGAACUCAAGGGUUUCUCCAAGUAAAGGCCAACCUUUAUUACCUCUGGGAACUUUCCCCUCCUCCUUCUUCUUCUUCUUCUUCUUCUUCUUCUGUUUCAGCCUGUCACCGUUCUCCUUUUUGACCCACAGAAACCAGUAGCAGCAGCAUGUAAGGAUGAUGAUACCCAUCAGAAUCCAGAGUCGAAUAAUCCAUUCCAUGACAGAGAGAAUGAAAGAAAGUGUUGUAAGAAUGAGUUUGAGUUCAUGCAGAGGUGAAAAAAGAGAGAGAAGGAGGUUGGAAGAAACUUCUUUUUGUCCUUCCUUAUAAAUGAGAGUGGGGUUAGACAUAUUGAGAAGGAGAUUCUGAAGAUCUAAGGCUUGAAGCAAUCAUUUAAUGUGAUGGCCUUAUUGGGUUCACCUAAUCAACCCUCAUCGUUUAUUUUGUCUUCACUCAUUUUAGAUACUUCUUAAUCCCACUUCUUUCCCAUCUCCUACUAACCCCACCCAUGCCUUUGCCUUCUUCUACCUCCCCUCCAAUUAUUUUUCUCUCUCUCUUACAUCUUUCUCUCUCUUCCUUUAAUCUAUAAAUAAUAA
rnacentral:lncRNA from 1 species